GAGACACACAGAGAGAAGCAGAGACAUAGGCAGGGGGAGAAGCAGGCUCCCCGGAGGGAGCCCAAUGCGGGACUUGACCCCAGGACUCCAGGAUCACGCCCUGAGCCGAACGCAGAUGCUCAACCGCUGAGCCACCCAGGCGUCCCCUGGCCAGUUCUAACCAGCUGGGAAGGGUAUGUUAGCGUCCCAGGAAUACCCUUGCACUUAUUUCUUUACAAACCACAUCUGUUAACUCAUUUUAGCCUUACCGUAGCCCCAUGAAGUCGAGAGAGCAAGGGCCCAUGUUGCGGUUUGGGCCACGAAGGCCCAGAGAGAGUCAGGGCCAGCUCAGUGUCAUGGAAGCUGAGCCCAGACUAAGACAAUCAGGGAAAAAUUGUCCUUUCUUUCUCUUGCCUCCAUGCUCAUGGAUGUGAACAUGUCUCUUCCACCAGGGAAAGCCCUCCCCGGAAGCUGUGGAGUGAUGGUGUCUUGGUCAGCAGAGUUCUCUUGCUGUGAUGAGACCUACUCUUACCAAAUGGUUGCUGGAAUGCCGGAAUAUUCGAGAAUAUUCUAGAAUUUCCGGGUGUGUGUGUGUGGCCUCCAUCAGCUCCCUCCACACACACCCCCACAGGAGAGAAAGGGGUACAGCUGUGGAAACUGGCACUGCUUCCCACAUUGCCUGGAGACUAAGAUUCUAUCAGUUCAGAGAACUUGAUCCUCAUAAGAACUACACCUUUGACGGACCAAUCAGAAUUUGGGGGAAGAGAAGCAAAGACGGAGAAGUCCUGCCUUCUGCACUACGAUGCACAAAAUCAAAGUCUUUUUCUUUUUUUUUAAAUCAAAGUCUUGAUUAGUAUUCAUCCAGAUGUUGAGAGCCCUGGCUGCAACCGACUCUUGCUGGGCUGAGCGGGUGGGGUGGCUUGUGGCUUGUCUGGCUCUUGUUGGCUGUGUCCCUAUGACACGCACACAGAUGAGGCUGCCUCAAGGUCCCUGCUCCCCUGCCUUGGACCCCUGCCCACCCCCACUCUUUGUGGGUUCCUUUAUGCUGGGAAAUGACCCCUUCUUGGCUCCACCCACGAGCCAAUGUCCAUGGGAAAAUUGCAGGGGAGGGCUGUUGGAAGAAACCUGUCACAUGUUUUUUUAAAAUUGUGGUAAAAAACACAAAUUUUACUCUCUUAACCACGUUUCAGUAUAGAGUUCAGGUGUGUUAACUCUAUUCAUAUUGUACAACAGAUCGCUAGAACUUUUCCACAUCUGUUGGGUUUUUAUGCUUGUCCCCGUGACCCUGCAGGCCUCGCACUGCAGACACCCAAAGGAGAGGAAAAACCCAGCACUAAUUAAUAUCCUUAAAAGAGUGGGACCUUGUUUAUGACUAAGCCAAUUCCCUGGGCCCCAAAGUUUGUGACAUGAUUUUAUUGUCUCCUAAUCAUUGGCUAUUAAAAAAAAAAAAAAAAAGGAUCUGUUGGUCACUUGGAUUCUUUGAUUUGUUUUUUCAGGCAACUCUGAACUUGAUUUCCAAAUCAUCUCCUAAUCAUGUCAUACUGAACCUUAAAAUUCACGAACUUGCAGCUAGCCCAGGGCUUAGUUCGGUGCGUAUGAGAGAUGCUUCAGGGAUGCCUGGGUGGUUCAGUGGGUUAAGUGUCUGACUCGAUUUCGGCUCAGGUCAUGAUCUCAGGGUGGUGAGAUCGAGCCCCCCACUAGCUCAGCACUGAGUGGGCAGUCUGCUUGAGAUUCUCCCCGUCUGCUCCUCCCGCUGCUCCUGCACAUGCAGGCUUUCUUUCAAAUAAAGCAAGAAGUCUUUUUAAAAAAAUGAGUCA
rnacentral:lncRNA from 12 species